GGAGGCAGUUGAAAUAUUGCUCACUGGGGGGACAUUCUACUUCCUGUUUCUCAACACUAUCACAGUGCUCUCACUUGAUGAGUCUUUGUGAGAUGUUAUUAAUCUACUUUUUAAUUAUAACAGCUUUUUAAUUAUACAGUAUAGGAACAAUCAGUGUAAUAAUUUAUGAAGGAUUUUAAAACCAUGAUAAGUCACAAACAUUUUGAACUACGGUGUCAUUUAAAAACAAAGAGAGACAUCAAGAAUUGGCGUAUGAAUCUCAACAAUGGUGACAAUCAAAAGCUUCAUGCGUCAUUGCAUGCUGGGUAUCUAGUCUAAGUGCAGGGAGUACACUUUGACCUUAAAUUGUGACCAUAGUAUGAGCUCACAUUGAGGGCGCUGUGAGGUUACACUUUUAGCUCACUGUUACCUCACAUUGUGACCACAUCACGAGUAUCCUGGGAGAUCAUGAUGAGAUAACUGUGAAGUCAAAUUGUUGACUGGGAGGCUUUUAUUUUUUAGGGUUGUCACCGUUUCCUCAAGUGUAUGCUAUAUUUAUGCUAAGCUUUGCGACAAAUGACUUAAUGCCUUUUAAAUAAUUUUAAAUUAUGCCAUGCCGAGAACAGUUCUUUUUCUUGAGGCUGCUGUUUUGAGCUCAACGUUUUUGUUCAUCUCAUGUUUUUGAUUAUUGUUUACAAUGGAACUCUAGAAAAAACCAAAAAAAAAAAAACAAUCAUGAUUAAAAACAAAACAAAACAACAAACAAACAAACAAAAAACCCUGCUUGAUUGGCACAAAUAUUACUUUAGGCUCAUUGAACUUGGGUUUUUAAUUAAAGGUAGAAUUUCAAUGUAAAAGUAGAAUUUUUGCAAAAAUGUAACAAAUGUAAUUACCAUCUUUAUGCAAUUUUCUAUUUGCACUUUCAGUGACAAGGGCAUCUAAUUGAUUUUGUUACUUGUUUAAGACUGAUAAAGAAAUGUAUAUUAGACAUACAUGUAUAUUAGACAAAAUUGCAUUUUCUCAUCAAAUCACACUGACCUUACAAUUACAAUGGAAUAUAGUGAAUUUAAUUAGAUUUUUCACAUUCAUUAAAUGUGUGGAGAACUAGUAUAAAUGUAGCACAUUGGACAGCUCCCAGUGCUGAACGGACUGAAUAUCAGACGAAUCUGCUGAAUAUUUUCUGAAGUAUAUAAACCCACCCCCCAGGGUAUAUAAAGCCACCCCCCAGGGGGCACAGCCUUUGAAAUGAGACCCAGUAAUAGAAUGCAGUGUAUUUUCAGCAAAUAUUCAUUUUUGUGUGAACUACUCCUUUAAACUAAGAUAUAAGAAAUUGACUAUGACUAAAUUAAAGAAACAUCCAGACAGAAGCUUGGUUAUUGUUGAAUAAUUGCUGAAAACUGCCAAAUAUUAAAAUUGUUAAAAUUAAUAUCUGGCCAGUUUGAUCAGUAGUUCUUUAGUCUGACUAAUAAAAAAUGAAUCAAAAGCUAACUGUUAAUAAAAUUUGUAAUAAACAUUCUAUUUUCACUUGUAAUAAAAUGUGAAGCAUUAAAAAAGCAUACUGGGCUUAUAUGGUACAUGUGUGUUUAAAUUGUACACUUUGGACUCUUUGCCAGACUUUUAAUAAACAAAAACAAAUAAAAUAUUGAUAACAUUUUGUAUAAUAAUAAUAAUAAUAAUAAUAAUAAUAAUAAUAAUAAUAAAUAACAUUUUGUAGGUUCUUAACAAACAUGACAUUGUGUUUAUAUGAAUGUUACGACCCAUGGCUCAAGGGAAGCAACAGAGGACACAUGCGAAACCAAAUUGUUGACUCAAAAUAUAAUUUUAUUUAAGAAUUAGAGUCACAUGAAAAAAAGUAAAGAAAACCAUAAAGAAAACAGCUGUAUUUUUUUGGGGAAACAUCAGUAAUGUAAGUGUGCAAUAUAAAAUGCAUGGAUGUAGGGAGAUAUAGUGUACUGCAGUGUUUAAGUGCGAGGGAAAAAGUAAACCAAAGCAAGCCACAAAACCAAAUGUCCAAAACCGAAGCCCUGCUCUGGCUCAAGCGGAAGCCUCUUUUAAAAGGAGUGUCUGAUAGAGAACAGGUGUUUCAAACGGCUGCCAAUCAAAGUAGUUUGUGAGCUUAACAGCGAUUCCAUGAACAGACGACAGGGGAAUUGAUACCUGAUACUUGAUAUCCAUAAGAACACAUAGAAAACUUCUGCAUGAAUACAUGCACUUUAACCAACACACAAAAGCAAACAAAGACUAAUGGACACCAAUGGCUUACAAAGAUGUAAGAGUUUCAUGGUGUGUGAGGUUGUAAUUGUUCUGAACAAGGCCUGUGGGUUUCCUGUUUGACAUGUUGUUGCAUCUUAUUUUGACCCACUACAUUAAAACAAAGAACCACAUCAAUUUUGCAUUAUAGUCCUCUAGUUCAUAGUUCAUAAAUGUACUAAUUGCAUGUCAAAUGUAAAGCACAUAAUCUUAAAUUUAUCUGCAUGUCUGAAUACUUUCUGAAGGUAACCAUAUAAUCAGGCAAAAAAAAAAAAAGUUACAUUUUGUCUUUAAAUAAUGUAGCCUCUUUGCAUAUUUGUCUGACAAAGAAAAGGUUAAAGAUUUACCUGAUCAUAAAGCCAAAUUAGAGCAAAAAAGUAAAUGUAAGGUGACUGAUAAUCGAUUAAUACUGAUCUCACUCUUUGUAUGUUCACACAGUAACCCAAUUUACUUCCAACCCCUCAUGACGCAGGCCACUUUAGAGUAAACAUUUCUAUUGGUGGGAACCAAUCAGAUGAAAGUUGACAUCUGCAUUAAGACCCUCAGCGCUGUCAGUUAUUCACAAUCACUCACUGAGAUGGAGAGGCCAGGACUUGCUCUCAUCGCGCUCAUGUGUAAGAAAAUUAUGGAAACCGAACAACUCGACUCUCUCUGGAAGUGACUUCCUGUUCUGAAGCCUCUGCGUCUCCUGACUGUGUGCUCUGCUGGAAGCUGCUGUUCAGUGUGUGUCCGGUGUGUGUUCUCCUCUCCUGUUCCUGUCCUCCAUCUGUGUGUCCUGCUUCUGUCGGGCUCAAACGACAGGUUCUGCAGAAAUACUCACAUCAGAUGUUAUUAAGGGGGAUCCGAUGGAGAAACAUCAGUGUACGAUGAGUAAGACUGGAAAGAUCUGCCUCCACACUGAAGUCUCUUAUAGCAUACUGACAUCUGCACAUCCCUAUGCCAAGAUAUGAUUCUACCUGCUCAAUUUAUACAACUUACUGCUCACUCUUUUUUUGUUCUCGUUAAUGUCAGAUGUGAUUCCUGAAGUAGCUUUUUUUCUCAAGCUUGCUUUAACUACAUUUAGUACGUGCACACACAUGCAACAUAAACCCAUUUUUUUAUAAACAAUUAUACCUUUCUAUUUUUGUGAUUAUGCGUGAUACAUAACACAUUCACAUAACACAUUUUUAAUUAAAAUAAUACAUAUAAAAGGGUUUCAGUAUUUACAGUAUUUUAUCAAAUACUAUUUGUGCAUGAAAAAUAACAUUAAUUUGAUUUUAUUUAUUGGAUUAAACAAAAUAUUUAUAACAAGCUAUAAUUUGGAUCUUAUUAGCCUUAGUUUGUUUGAUCAAUAUGUCAUUUUGUGCUAUUAAGUCAAACACAUGGUAAAACUUAUUCAAAGCAGUUUAAUGCAGAUCUCAAUGUGUCUUUGCAGCCCUGAAUCAUAAUUACUUUAUUUGUUGUAGAAGCGAAACUAUACAUUCCGAGUCCUCACACCUAUUAAGCUAUGACACACUUAGCCAUUAGGUAAAAUGAUCCCACUUUAUAUUAGGUGGCCUUAACUACUAUGUACUUACAUUUGAAUUAAUCAUUUGGUACAAUGCACUUAUUGUGUACAUACAUGUUUUUACAUUGUACUUAUAUUUUUAAAAAUACCUAUAUUUAAUUACAUCUGUAAUUAAUUUCUGUAAUUACAUUUAUAAUUACACUGUUGACCCAUCCCUUACACCUUAACCCACCCUUAAACCUACCCAUACCACCAAACCUGUCCCUAACCACCCGUAUCCCACCUCAAUAGCAUCAAUAGUGUUUUGCAAUACAGUAUAAACACAAUAAGUACAUUGUACUUAUUUUUGAUGUAAGUACAUAGUAGUUAAGGCCACCUAAUAUAAAGCGUGACCGGUAAAAUUGACAUCUUUGGGGCAACAAAAUGUGUUUGUCUACCACUCACUCUUUCAUUCUUCAUCUCUCUCUUCUUGUGGUCAGCUAUAAGUACGGACCACAAAUGUUUCGACUGGACUUUAAAUCAAAUGCAUUUGUGUAUUUGUCUGUCAGAUAUAUGUUACUGUUCAAUGCAAUAUAAAUAAAAUUGGAUUUAUUCCCUGUGCAUUAAUCUAAUGUAUUUGAAAAUAAUAAAAAAAAAGGAAAAGAAAGCAAAACUCAUGGCUUCAGUGGCUAAUAUUUUUGUAAUCAUAUUCUAAUAUUCACCACAUGGGGGCAGAAAUGUUGAGAUUAGCAGUCUGUUCCAAUACCCAUACUUGUGGUCUUUGCACUUGUUCACUUAGAUGAUGUAUUUCCUGCUUUUGGUCAAAGUGUUGAAGAGGGUAUGAAGACACUAAGUGUGUAUUGAUUGCCCAAUGGACAAACUUACGGCAUAGUGUGGUAAAAAUACAUGUAAUAUAUUAACAGAGCUUCAUUUACAUGUUUUGAUUUUCAAUACUUUGCACUUUAAUAUCACAUUCUAAAUGUCUGUUCAGUAGUCCCUGUGUAACAGAUGGCACAAUUCAAUUGUAGUGUUUUUAAUUGAGUGAUAAAAAGCAGCAAACAUUUUACAGAAUACAUGUACUCAUUUCUGACAGGACCUAGAAAUGUGUUUGUGAGCUGCCUCCAGAUGUGUCUUGCUGGUCUUUGUCACGUCUUUUGUUGUUGGUUGUUAUGUCAGUUACGCUCAUUCAUGUUUAUUCUGUUUAAUGUACCUGUUGACAAGCUGAACUUGGAACCUCACCCCUUGUCUUUCUUUUACUGACAUUAAAGCAGAUGCCAAAAUUGUAAAUGUAUAUUUUAAGUUAGUCAGUGUUGAAGAUUGUUUCAUACUCUUGUUUCUUUGUUUCAAUAUAGCUAAUAUAACAUCUGAUCAUUUGAUAUUUUUUGGUAGCAUAUAGCACUCUGAUGUGAGUAUUUGUCUGUGAGUUGCAAGGUUCAGUCACUUUUUAUUUGUUUGUGAAACUGAUUCAAGAAAACACAAUGGUCAAGAUGGGUAAUUAGAGGAAUAACUACCAAGAUAUUAUGUGAAGAUAGUAAACACAGUGGCCUUUAGGUGCCACAGGAUGUGAGAAGUGGUUUGUUAUGUGUGAAUUCAGUCUUGUUGGCUGCACAGGUUACAUUUCCGGUAAAGACAGUUCGGCCUUCUGUAGAAGUCAAAAUAAAAACCACAAAUGUU